CCUACGGGUGGCAGCAGUGGGGAAUUGUUCACAAUGGGCGCAAGCCUGAUGACGCAACGCCGCGUGGAGGAUGAAGGUCUUCGGAUUGUAAACUCCUGUUGCCCGGGACGAAAUGCUUUGACCUAACACGUCAAAGUUUGACGGUACCGGGUGAGGAAGCCCCGGCUAACUCUGUGCCAGCAGCCGCGGUAAUACAGAGGGGGCAAGCGUUGUUCGGAAUUACUGGGCGUAAAGGGCGCGUAGGUGGCCUUCUAAGUCGAACGUGAAAUCCCUGGGCUCAACCCAGGAACUGCGUCCGAGACUGGGAGGCUUGAAUCCGGGAGAGGGAUGCGGAAUUCCAGGUGUAGCGGUGAAAUGCGUAGAUAUCUGGAGGAACACCGGUGGCGAAGGCGGCAUCCUGGACCGGGAUUGACACUGAGGCGCGAAAGCCAGGGGAGCAAACGGGAUUAGAUACCCUGGUAGUC
rnacentral:misc_RNA from 1 species